GAACGGGUGAGUAACACGUGGGUGAUCUGCCCUGCACUUUGGGAUAAGCCUGGGAAACUGGGUCUAAUACCGAAUAGGACCACGCGCUUCAUGGUGUGUGGUGGAAAGCUUUUGCGGUGUGGGAUGGGCCCGCGGCCUAUCAGCUUGUUGGUGGGGUAAUGGCCUACCAAGGCGACGACGGGUAGCCGGCCUGAGAGGGUGACCGGCCACACUGGGACUGAGAUACGGCCCAGACUCCUACGGGAGGCAGCAGUGGGGAAUAUUGCACAAUGGGCGCAAGCCUGAUGCAGCGACGCCGCGUGAGGGAUGACGGCCUUCGGGUUGUAAACCUCUUUCAAUAGGGACGAAGCGCAAGUGACGGUACCUAUAGAAGAAGCACCGGCCAACUACGUGCCAGCAGCCGCGGUAAUACGUAGGGUGCGAGCGUUGUCCGGAAUUACUGGGCGUAAAGAGCUCGUAGGUGGUUUGUCGCGUUGUUCGUGAAAACUCACAGCUUAACUGUGGGCGUGCGGGCGAUACGGGCAGACUAGAGUACUGCAGGGGAGACUGGAAUUCCUGGUGUAGCGGUGGAAUGCGCAGAUAUCAGGAGGAACACCGGUGGCGAAGGCGGGUCUCUGGGCAGUAACUGACGCUGAGGAGCGAAAGCGUGGGGAGCGAACAGGAUUAGAUACCCUGGUAGUCCACGCCGUANACGGUGGGUACUAGGUGUGGGUUCCUUCCUUGGGAUCCGUGCCGUAGCUAACGCAUUAAGUACCCCGCCUGGGGAGUACGGCCGCAAGGCUAAAACUCAAAGGAAUUGACGGGGGCNNNCNCAAGCGGC
rnacentral:rRNA from 1 species